UUUAGAUUUUGGAUUUCUUUUUCUUUCAUUUGUUUUUUUCUGAUCGAGCUCCGACUCCGAGCCUUCCAGACUCUAGCUUUUGUUGAAGCUAAUGGUCUCCCUAAACUGCCCUUCUCCCUGUUCUUCCCACUCCGUCCUCCAGCAGCGAACACUCCCCCUGCCCACUCCGCUUCCACUCCCCAUUUCUCCUCUGCUAGGGUUUCCUCCCCCUCCAAAUCCUCGCCGCUCGGCCAUGGCUAAGACGAAGCAGGGCAAGAAGGACGUGGAUUCGUACACCAUCCGCGGCACCAACAAGGUCGUCAGAGUGGGCGACUGCGUGCUUAUGCGGCCGUCGGACUCGGACAAUCAGCCGUACGUGGCGCGGGUGGAGAAGAUGGAGGCCGACGGGCGCGGCAGCGUGCGGGUGCGGGUGCGCUGGUACUACCGCCCCGAGGAGUCCAAGGGCGGCCGCCGGCAGUUCCACGGCGCCAAGGAGCUAUUCCUCUCCGACCAUUUCGACCUGCAGAGCGCCCACACCAUCGAGGGCAAGUGUGUUGUCCAUUCUUUCAAGAACUACACCAAGCUCGACAAUGUGGGGCCCCAGGACUUCUUCUGCCGAUUUGAGUACAAGGCGGCCACCGGCUCAUUCACCCCUGAUCGCGUCGCAGUGUACUGCAAGUGUGAGAUGCCGUACAACCCCGACGAUCUCAUGGUUCCAUCCAUCUUGCAUGGGCAUGACCAUUGAACAGGCGAAAAAGCUAGACCACUUUGUUUGUUCAGACUGUGUGAAGGAAAAUGGACCAAAGAGACUUUCAAACGGAUAUGCUACGUCCCCAAAUUCGGAGCCUAAGGCUGAAUCCAAAAGGCAGAGGCGGUAACAGCUCGGAGCGCUAGCAUCCAUCGCUGAGGAGAUGCGCUGCUUCUGCAGCGAACCAGCCCGUCGCGGUUCACGAGCGCGGAGGUCUACAGUGCAGUAUAGCUAGUGUUUGCGGAGCCUCCUUAGGCUCCGUUGUCUCUUGGGCUGCCAGGCAUUAUGUCCUGUUAUCGGGGGAACGGGUUUGUUCGUUUCAGUCGGUGUGGCAUGCCGUACAUUGUACGGCCCGGCGUGUUGUUCUUGUGAGGUAAACAGGGGGUACAGCCUUGCCAUGUUAUCUAGUCGUCCGACUAAUUGCGAUUAGUUGCGAUUAGUCGGGCUUAUCGGUCCGGUGACCCCGAUAAGGGACACCGAGUAGGUCUGGGCGACUAGUUUUCUAGUCGUCCGACUAGUCGUCGACUAGUCGCGAUUAGUCGCACGAUCAGGUUGGAAAACGAUCAGACUUGAGAUUGUUUUGUGGGCUGUUUGAGUUGUGAGCCUCGGCCAGCGAUGGGCUGGCAAGCUGGCCCAUUAGGUUUUUGGUAUAUAGAGGCUGAGAGACAGGAAUAUGGACUAUGGGACAGGAAUACAGAGUUCUGGACAGUUCACAAAUCAUCUCUCACAAAUAAGUGAAAAAUUGACCAUUAUUGUUGCC